rnacentral:rRNA from 1 species
UACGGAGGGGGCUAGCGUUGUUCGGAAUUACUGGGCGUAAAGCGCGCGUAGGCGGACCUGCAAGUCGGGGGUGAAAGCCCGAGGCUUAACCUCGGAACUGCCCUCGAUACUGCGGGUCUCGAGUCCGGGAGAGGUGAGUGGAAUUCCUAGUGUAGAGGUGAAAUUCGUAGAUAUUAGGAAGAACACCAGUGGCGAAGGCGGCUCACUGGCCCGGUACUGACGCUGAGGCGCGAAAGCGUGGGGAGCAAACAGG